rnacentral:rRNA from 1 species
GGGAGGCAGCAGUGAGGAAUAUUGGUCAAUGGGCGAGAGCCUGAACCAGCCAAGUCGCGUGAAGGAAGAAGGAUCUAUGGUUCGUAAACUUCUUUUGCAGGGGAAUAAAGAACAGGACGUGUCCUGUUUUGUAUGUACCCUGAGAAUAAGGAUCGGCUAACUCCGUGCCAGCAGCCGCGGUAAUACGGAGGAUCCGAGCGUUAUCCGGAUUUAUUGGGUUUAAAGGGUGCGUAGGUGGUUUGAUAAGUCAGCGGUGAAAGUUUGCAGCUUAACUGUAAAAAUGCCGUUGAAACUGUCGGACUUGAGUGUAAAUGAGGUAGGCGGAAUGCGUGGUGUAGCGGUGAAAUGCAUAGAUAUCACGCAGAACUCCGAUUGCGAAGGCAGCUUACUAAGCUACAACUGACACUGAAGCAC